UCCUCUCAUACCCUCACAAUCACAAAUAUCCCGAAAGGAACUACCACAACAAAAUAAAAUAGAUCUUACCCCCCGUACCUUUUGUAUCAUGGUCGUGCAACCCAACCGUCAACAACAAACCCCCGAACUUGUGAGAGCUAUAAUCGUUUUGUUUAGCACCAACUUACUAUUGUAGCAUCAAUAAAAGAAAAGACGAUUAUAGAGGCUACAUACCAAUCGCGCACAAAGAUAGCUGGUUUUCCAAAAAACCUAUUUUAGUAGGAGUAAAAAAAAAGCACUUUUUUUUAGCCCCCGUUUCUAGGGAUAAGCUUAGAAACACUGCCCUGACCCUAAAAACUUCUCUCCAUCAUGUCGGCCUUAAAGCAGCCACCACUUCAAACCGCGUUCCAGCCUUAAUUACACACCAUCUCAUAAUCCUCCCCUACCUUCAGGCGUCAACUAUUGGAAUACGGAAGAAAACACCCACUAUUCCACAAAUACUGCUCGAAUCACUAUUCCACGUCACUACUUCUGGCCUUCCCUCUCUGGCUUUAAAACAAGAUUCCUUUCUACCGAACUCUCAAUAAGGAACUCGGCAACACCUCACCUCGCCUGUUUAUUAAAAACAUCGCCUUUUGUCACCUAAUAAAAGGUCCAACCUGCCCAGUGAACCACUUCAACGGCCGCGGUACCCUGACCGUGCUAAGGUAGCGCAAUCACUUGCCCUUUAAUUGGGGGCUAGUAUGAAUGGUCAAACGAGGGUGAAGCUGUCUCAUUGAGACUCCACUAAAAAUUAUCCUUCACGUGAAGAGACCUGAUUACAAUAAAAAGACGAGAAGACCCUGUCAAGCUUUACACUACUCGAGCUCAUCACCCACUUGCUCGCCCACGUGUUUUGUUGGGGCAACACAGGAACACACUCUUCCUUAUUACCUCUUACACUCAAGCAAACAAUCCGACACAGUCGAACAAAGACAAAGCUACUGCAGGGAUAACAGGCUAAUCUGCUUCGAGAGCCCACAUUGACAAGCAGGCUUGGCACCUCGAUGUUGGCUUAAGAACCCCGGUUGGGGCAGCCCCCAACCAAAGGAGGUUUGUUCAACCUAUAAUUUCUUACAUGAGCUGAGUUUAGACCGACGUAAGUCAGGUCAGUUUCUAUCUUUUAUUAUUACUCAUUCUUGGCAGUAUUCGUACGAAAGGAUUUUACCGCCCGACAAUAGUCGCAAAAAUAACCCCUUGACCCUCUUAUCUUC
rnacentral:rRNA from 1 species